rnacentral:rRNA from 1 species
CUACGGGUCGCUCCAGUGGGGAAUAUUGGACAAUGGGGGAAACCCUGAUCCAGCAAUGCCGCGUGUGUGAAGAAGGCCUGCGGGUUGUAAAGCACUUUCGGUUGGGAGGACUGCUUCUAGCACUAAUAUUGUUGGAAGUUGACGUUACCUUCAGAAGAAGCACCGGCUAACUCCGUGCCAGCAGCCGCGGUAAUACGGAGGGUGCAAGUGUUAAUCGGAUUACUGGGCGUAAAGCGCGCGUAGGCGGCUAGAUCAGUCGGGUGUGAAAGCCCCGGGCUUAACCUGGGAACUGCAUCCGAUACUGUCUAGCUUGAGUACAGGAGAGGAGAGUGGAAUUCCACAUGUAGCGGUGAAAUGCGUAGAUAUGUGGAGGAACACCAAUGGCGAAGGCAGCUCUCUGGCCUGAUACUGACGCUGAGGUGCGAAGCGUGGGGAGCAAACAGGAUUAGAUACCCUGGUAGUC